UACGUAGGGUGCAAGCGUUGUCCGGAAUUAUUGGGCGUAAAGAGCUCGUAGGCGGUUUGUCGCGUCUGCUGUGAAAACUCGGGGCUUAACUCCGGGCCUGCAGUGGGUACGGGCAGACUAGAGUGCGGUAGGGGAGACUGGAAUUCCUGGUGUAGCGGUGAAAUGUGCAGAUAUCAGGAGGAACACCGGUGGCGAAGGCGGGUCUCUGGGCCGUAACUGACGCUGAGGAGCGAAAGCGUGGGGAGCGAACAGGA
rnacentral:rRNA from 1 species